CACGUAGGGUGCGAGCGUUGUCCGGAAUUAUUGGGCGUAAAGAGCUCGUAGGCGGUGUGUCGCGUCGGCCGUGAAAACCUGCAGCUUAACUGUGGGCUUGCGGUCGAUACGGGCAUCACUGGAGUUCGGCAGGGGAGACUGGAAUUCCUGGUGUAGCGGUGAAAUGCGUAGAGAUCGGGAGGAAUACCGGUGGCGAAAGCGACUCUCUGGACGGCAACUGACGGCUGAGGCACGAAAGCGUGGGGAGCAAACAGG
rnacentral:rRNA from 1 species